rnacentral:rRNA from 1 species
AGCGGCGGACGGGUGAGUAAUGCCUGGGAAAUUGCCCUGAUGUGGGGGAUAACCAUUGGAAACGAUGGCUAACACCGCAUAAUAGCUUCGGCUCAAAGAGGGGGACCUUCGGGCCUCUCGCGUCAGGAUAUGCCCAGGUGGGAUUAGCUAGUUGGUGAGGUAAUGGCUCACCAAGGCGACGAUCCCUAGCUGGUCUGAGAGGAUGAUCAGCCACACUGGAACUGAGACACGGUCCAGACUCCUACGGGAGGCAGCAGUGGGGAAUAUUGCACAAUGGGCGCAAGCCUGAUGCAGCCAUGCCGCGUGUAUGAAGAAGGCCUUCGGGUUGUAAAGUACUUUCAGCAGUGAGGAAGGUGGGUAUGUUAAUAGCAUACUCAUGUGACGUUAGCUGCAGAAGAAGCACCGGCUAACUCCGUGCCAGCAGCCGCGGUAAUACGGAGGGUGCGAGCGUUAAUCGGAAUUACUGGGCGUAAAGCGCAUGCAGGUGGUUUGUUAAGUCAGAUGUGAAAGCCCGGGGCUCAACCUCGGAAUUGCAUUUGAAACUGGCAAA